rnacentral:tRNA from 1 species
CUACCUGUAGCUCAGUGGUUAGAGCAUCCGUCUUAUAAGCGGGAGGUCGAUGGUUCAAUCCCAUCCAGGUGGACCA